AGCUUUUUCAGUUCGACAAGACAACACACACAAAAUAAAUAUAUAGACAAUUAUAUUAAAUUAUUAUUUAAAUAGGUAAAAUGGGAAAGUACAAGUCAUAAUUAACAAACAAGGAAUUUUUAUUUCAUAAAUCUUGCAACAUAUACAUAAAACAUAAUUACUACAACAUUAACUCAUGGAUAGCUAGGUACUAUAGAAGAACACCCGCCCCGAGCUUGAUUAUUGUUGCCACCCAAAGGAAAUUUUCUACGGUCGUAUCCUGUUUGCGAGCAUAUACCACAUUUGCGCGGAUAUACGGUAUCACUAACAUCCAUUUGGUUCCGUAUACGCAUUCUCUUCUGCACCUGUCUUUUUCGCAAAUAAGACUUGUUACACACCAUUUUAAAUCGUUCUGGAGGCCACUAUAUGUGUUUAGGUACUUGAAAACACUAUAUUAUUGAUCAAUAUAGUUGGUCUCCGCAUAACCAACACGUUGAAAACACUUGAUGGCAUGUGAGCAAGGCAUAUGGUAGAUUGACCAUUUCCCACAAGAGCAUAACCUUGUAGAUUCAUUUACAGUAUGAACAUUAUUACCCCGAUUAUUAUGGAUAGCGGUGGCAUGUGAGCAAGGCAUGUGGUAGAUUGACCAUUCCCUACAAAAGCAUAACUUGUAGAUUCAUUUACAGUAUGAACAUUAUUACCCCGAUUAUUAUGGAUAACGGUGCGAACUUCAAUAAUACCUCUUUCGUUAUCAUAUUGCAAAAAGGAAUGCCAAUGUGCUCGCCAUCUGUAUUUCACAAGUCUCCGCAUAAACACUGGAAAUUCAACACCCCUUUCCAUCAAUUUUGUUGCAGCUGUAGACCGUUGAACAAACCUCUCCACCAUCUGCUUGAAUGACAUCCGCACCAUGGCUGUGACGGGCUAUCCUCUUGCCGACUUCAUAACCCGUUGAAGGACUCUUGCACGUUUGUAGUAAGAAUUCCCCACCGUCUACCACCAUAUGCAUGCAACGUCCACUUUUCAGGGUCAUGUCGCAUUAACCAAUGAUAGGUUGUCUCGUCUUCUCGCCUGACAGAAUCCAUAUGCCUCCGGAAUUUAUGUUGUUGUUGGUAUGUUGCUGCCAUCCACAUCAAAUUAUAUAGAUCCUUUUUUUAUGUGCCCUCUGGAAAUUGGCCUUCAAGUGCCUCACACAGUAACGAUGGUAUGUAUAAGGUUCUUGCCAUGCAGGCAAGUUCUCCACAGAACUUAAUAUACCACCAUGCUGAUCAGAUAUUAGACAAAUAUCUGAACGCUGUUUGACAACGUGCUCUUUCAGGUGGUUCAAAAACAUCGUCCACGUCUCUGUGCUUUCAUUGGCACAAAUAGCAAAAGCUAAGGGAAAUAUCUGUCCUGCUCUUUCAGGUGGUUCAAAAACAUCGUCCACGUCUCUGUGCUUUCAUUGGCACAAAUAGCAAAAGCUAAGGGAAAUAUAUGUCCAUGAGCAUCCAUUGCCACGGCUAUCAAUAGCUUGAUAUCGUACUUUCCAUAAACAUAAGUUCCGCCUAUGGAUAUUACGGGCCGGCAAUACGGAAAACCAUCAAUUGCUGGCUUAAACGCCCAGAACAUGUAAUUGAAUAUAUAUUCUGGUUUACCCGAACUCCGCUCAAACUUCCAUUCAACAACCGUCCCGAGGUUAAACUACUGCAGUGCAGCCAUGUACCUAGGAAGAUCUGCAAAUGACUUAUCCCAGUUACCAUUGACUAUUUCAAACACUCUUUUCCGCCCGAGAUAUGCCUUUCUUUUAGUAAUCGUAUGGCCAUAUUCCUGGUGGACUGCUGUAAUGCACUCUUCGAUUUUAUACCUUAUGGACGCUUCAAUGUGCGGAAUAAGUACAAGAGAUAUCAAGUCAAUAUCCAAGUUGAAGUGAUUCCUGUUGUAUGUGUCCAUUUCGCAUGUGUGGGUGAGAAUGUAUUUACCCACUUUCCAUAUACCUGUCUUCUUCUUGGUCGAACGCAACAUCCAAUCACAUAGCCAAAACCACAUGCGACAAACAACCUUGUAUACCAUCGGACUUGACUCUGAUACCUGCAUCUCACGACACUCUUUUACGUUGUGCAUUUUACAAGCCUUGCUUAUGCGCGCUUUAUCAGGAAAAAGCAUCCCCUUUGCAAGCACCGUUGGUCUAGACUCAUUCCACAUUUUUGU
rnacentral:lncRNA from 1 species